AUAAAAUAAGAAAGAAUUCAUUAUGUUGUUACAAAGAUAAUGGUCAAAUUGAAUAAUUUGGAUGCCAUAAGAAAAAGUAUAAACCAUAUAAGAACUAUAAAAGAAAAUUCAAAAACUACAAAAACUUCAAGAAAAGAAACUUUAAACCACAUAAAAAAUAUUUCAAGAAAAGAAAUUGGAAUAAAAAAUUUAAACUAAGAAAUAUUAAAAACUGUAGAUGUUUUAUUUGUAAUGAAGAAGGACACAUUGCCCCUCAAUGUUCUAAAAAGAGAAACAGACAAAAUAUAAAAACUCUUAGAAUUUAUUAAAAAUUUCAAGAAGAUAGUAAUAUAGAACCAAUUGAAUAUUUUGAAGAUCUAAGUAGUGAAUGCAGUAGCAUUUAUGAAUUAGAUACAUCCUCAUCAGAAGAAGAUUAUGAGGAGACAAUAUAUAUGAAUCAGGAGAUACAACAACCAGAAAUAGAAAUAGAGACAACUGAAGAAGUUGAAGAUUCUAUAGAAGGUAUAAAUCAAGAAAUUACCUUUGAUAUUAAAAAAUACAUAGGAAUCACUAAGAAAAUACUAGAUCUACAAGAAAAGGAUGUAUUCCAUCAAAAAUUCUUAGGAAUUUUACCAAGAGUAAAUAAAACAAUUGUAAGUAUGAAUUAU
rnacentral:sRNA from 1 species